rnacentral:lncRNA from 1 species
AGGCCUGUCUCUGCCUCGGUGUGAACUGUAUUGGAGAGAUGUCCUCCCAGCGUGGGCUGCUGUCCUGCAGGUGAGAAUCAUAACGUGGUCAUUCAGAACCACUCGUCUUAAAGUGCCUUCUCUAGACAAAAAAUGCCUUUUCCAUCGAAGGUGGGGAGGGGAGAAAAAUGGCCUCCAACGCAGGGAGUGCUGUGCGGGUUGGGCAGGUGCUUGUGGGCUCUAACAAAUGGAUUUCCACGAGGGGCCCAGGGCAGCAGGUGCAGCUUGGCCGGGUGUAGCCUCGCUGGAGACAUGCGUCUGCAGCCGGGCUCUGUGGGGCCUCGGGACAGGCACUGGGAAACCUUAGAAACUGCAGAGCCGGGCCAGCGAUGGCACAGUGUCCGUGGCAGGGAAGCUCAGGAAGCUUGUGGUCCAGCCCCCUUCACAGAUGAAGACGCU